rnacentral:rRNA from 1 species
UACGUAGGGGGCAAGCGUUGUCCGGAUUUAUUGGGCGUAAAGAGCGUGUAGGCGGCCAGACAGGUCAGCUGUGAAAACUCGGGGCUUAACCCCGGGCCUGCAGUGGGUACGGGCAGACUAGAGUGCGGUAGGGGAGACUGGAAUUCCUGGUGUAGCGGUGAAAUGCGCAGAUAUCAGGAGGAACACCGGUGGCGAAGGCGGGUCUCUGGGCCGUAACUGACGCUGAGGAGCGAAAGCGUGGGGAGCGAACAGG